UUCCGACUAGCUUCACAAUAGUGAGCCGCUCUGUGUGUUCAGCAAUGUAGAUCCAGGAAGCCCUCUUAAGAACGUAUUGUGUGUCUCCUAUCUGUAUCCUUAUGGACAUUUAUUCAUCUUUUGGUGUCGUGUCCUCUGGAAACCCACGGACUGGGACACAUGUGGACGCCAAUGAGAGACCGUGUGGCUGUCAGCAUUACCGGCGGGGCUGAAAUGCUCGUGUUUUUUCUAAAUCUCAUUAUCACGGUCACAUCCAGGCAUCAUCAAUAAAAAUUCAAAAUGAGGAUCUUCGUGUCUCUUCUCAAAAACAUUAACACCAAAAUCGAGUAUUACUCCAGAUUUUCGCCGUCCCCGCUCUCCAUUAAGCAGUUUUUGGAUUUUGGCAGGGACAAUGCUUGUGAAAAAACAUCCUACAUGUUCUUGCGUAAGGAGCUGCCGGUGCGGCUGGCCAACACCAUGAGAGAGGUCAACCUGCUGCCAGAUAACUUGCUCAGCCAGCCCUCCAUCAGACUGGUGCAGAAAUGGUACAUGCAGAGCUUCGUGGAGCUGCUGGAUUAUGAGAACAGAAAGCCAGAGGACCCUCAUGCUUUGAAUGAAUUCCUGGAGCUCUUGAUUGAGAUCCGUAACCGUCACAACGACGUGGUUCCCACCAUGGCUCAGGGAGUCAUCGAGUACAAGGAGAAGUAUGGCUUUGACCCCUUUAUCAGCAGCAACAUCCAGUACUUCCUUGACCGCUUCUACACCAACCGCAUCUCUUUCCGCAUGCUCAUCAACCAGCACACUCUCCUGUUUGGUAACGACACCAACCCUGCCCAUCCCAAACACAUAGGCAGUAUUGAUCCCACCUGCAGCGUGGCUGAAGUCGUCAGUGAUGCCUACGACACAGCCAAGAUGCUGUGUGAGAAGUACUACUUGGCUGCUCCCGAGCUGAAGAUUGAAGAGUUCAACAUGAAGGCCCCUAAAAAGCCCAUCCAGGCAGUGUAUGUGCCCUCCCAUCUGUUCCACAUGCUGUUUGAGCUCUUCAAGAACUCAAUGAGAGCCACAGUAGAGCUUCAUGAGAACAGUGAAGAGGCAUUGCCACCAGUAAAGGCUAAAGUCACUCUGGGUAAAGAGGAUCUUUCUAUAAAGAUCAGCGACAGAGGAGGAGGAGUCCCUCUGAGGAAGAUAGACCGUCUGUUUAACUACAUGUACUCCACUGCUCCUACACCAAGCCUGGAGCCAGGAGCUGUCCCACUGGCUGGUUUUGGCUAUGGUUUGCCGAUUUCUAGGCUCUAUGCCCGAUACUUCCAGGGGGACCUGAAACUCUACUCCAUGGAGGGCGUUGGCACCGAUGCUGUCAUCUAUCUGAAGGCCCUGUCCAGCGAGUCCUUUGAGCGUCUGCCUGUCUUCAACAAGUCAGCGUGGCGACAUUAUAAAACCAGCCCCGAGGCGGACGACUGGAGCAACCCAAGCAAAGAGCCGCGUGAUGCCAGCAAGUCCAAAUACAAAGCCAGAUAAUUCUGCCUGAGCCCGCAAACCCGGCCCUCUGCUGGGAGCACAAAUGCCCGCCUUCUGCUCAGUGCAUCUCCAUCUGAUGUGAAAAGAAAGGAGCGUAAAUGAAGAAUUUGGUAUGGAAAGCGUCCAAUGUCCUGUAGGUUCUCCGCUUUUCAGCCUCACUGAAAGAGUUCAUCACUGCCAAUGCCUUCCUAACCUGCCAGUCUCACUGAUACUUGGUGACAAACCUACUGUAAGGAAAUUUUAUACGCUAGAGACAACAGUCCUCUUUGUUUAGAUGACUCAGUUUACCACCUUUCAUCAGUUAUAAUCACAUUCAACAGACUGUUGGCAAAGUUCACACCUUUGUCAAAGUUUCAAUUCCAGUUGUAUGAUUUGGAGGCCCGAGGUUGUUUAAUUUUCUGUAGUUGUCAACCUUUUACUGUUAAAGACUGUCUCUGUCCCUCUGGUAUAUUAGAAAAUAUAGUGUAUUGAACUAGUAAUGUGCUGUUCAUGCAGCCAGUGUGGAGUGAUUGUUUUCCAUCCUACUGUACCUCCAGCUUGAACAAAUGUCUUAAUGUUUGCAUGAACUCCUCACUGCGGAGGUGGCCAUACAAACAUAUGCAACUAUAUACCAAAAAACGUGAUAGAACAGUCUUUAUGAUGUGCAUUCAGCAUGAUAUCAGCUUGUCAAACCCGACAAUAAAGAAAACUGUUGUUGUGUGC